rnacentral:rRNA from 1 species
AUUGAACGCUGGCGGCAUGCUUUACACAUGCAAGUCGAACGGUAACAGGCCGCAAGGUGCUGACGAGUGGCGAACGGGUGAGUAAUGCAUCGGAACGUGCCCAGUCGUGGGGGAUAACGCAGCGAAAGCUGUGCUAAUACCGCAUACGAUCUAUGGAUGAAAGCGGGGGACCGUAAGGCCUCGCGCGAUUGGAGCGGCCGAUGUCGGAUUAGGUAGUUGGUGGGGUAAAGGCCUACCAAGCCGACGAUCUGUAGCUGGUCUGAGAGGACGACCAGCCACACUGGGACUGAGACACGGCCCAGACUCCUACGGGAGGCAGCAGUGGGGAAUUUUGGACAAUGGGCGCAAGCCUGAUCCAGCAAUGCCGCGUGCAGGAAGAAGGCCUUCGGGUUGUAAACUGCUUUUGUACGGAACGAAGCGGCCUGGGUUAAUACCCUGGGCUAAUGACGGUACCGUAAGAAUAAGCACCGGCUAACUACGUGCCAGCCGCCGCCGUAAAAC